rnacentral:rRNA from 1 species
GAUGAACGCUAGCGGCAGGCCUAAUACAUGCAAGUCGGACGGGAUUCAGGAGCUUGCUUCUGAUGAGAGUGGCGCACGGGUGCGUAACACGUAUGUAACCUACCUUUAUCAGGGGGAUAGCCUCUCGAAAGAGAGAUUAAGCCCGCAUAAAAUCACAGCACAGCAUUGUGUAAUGAUCAAAUAUUUAUAGGAUAAAGAUGGGCAUGCGGAACAUUAGCUAGAUGGCGGGGUAACGGCCCACCAUGGCGACGAUGUUUAGGGGAUCUGAGAGGAUGGCCCCCCACACUGGUACUGAGACACGGACCAGACUCCUACGGGAGGCAGCAGUAAGGAAUAUUGAUCAAUGGGCGGAAGCCUGAACCAGCCAUGCCGCGUGCAGGAAGACGGCCCUACGGGUUGUAAACUGCUUUUAUACGGGAAUAAACCCAGAUACGUGUAUCUGGCUGAAUGUACUGUAAGAAUAAGGAUCGGCUAACUCCGUG